rnacentral:tRNA from 1 species
AGGGGUGUCGCCAAGCGGUAAGGCCACGGACUCUGACUCCGUUAUUCGUUGGUUCGAAUCCAGCCACCCCUGCCA